GAUGAACGCUGGCGGCGUGCUUAACACAUGCAAGUCGAACGGGAAACCUUUUAUUGAAGCUUCCGCAGAUUUAGCUGGUUUCUAGUGGCGGCCCGGUGAGUAACUCGUUAGUAGCCUGCCCUAUACACGGGGAUAACAACCAGAAAUGGUUGCUAAUACCGCAUAAGCGCACAGGGCCGCAUGGUCCGGUGUGACAAACUCCGGUGGUAUAGGCUGGACCCGCAUUGCAUUCUCCAGUUGUGAGGGUAACGGCCUACCAAAGCGACGAUCCAUAGCCGGCCUGUGAGGGUGAGCGGCCACAUUGGGAGGGGGACACAGCCCAGACUCCUACGGGAGGGAGGAGUGGGGGAUAUUGCAACAUGGCGGAAACCCUGAUGCAGCGAGGACGCGUGAAGGAAGUAGUAAGUCAGUAUGUAAACUGCUAUCAGCUGGGAAGAUAUUGACGGUACCUGACUAAGAAGCCACGGCUAACUACGUG
rnacentral:rRNA from 1 species